GGGUGCUUUGGUGUCCCGCCUUGACGCCUACUGUCACGGGUAUUAGUCUGACUCUUAAUCAGCGGGUCCAAGGUUCGAGUCCUUGUGCGCCCACCA
rnacentral:tRNA from 1 species